rnacentral:rRNA from 1 species
UACGUAGGUGGCAAGCGUUGUCCGGAUUUAUUGGGUUUAAAGGGUGCGUAGGCGGCUUUGUAAGUCAGUGGUGAAAUAUGGCAGCUUAACUAUCAAGGUGCCAUUGAUACUGCAGAGCUUGAGUACAGAUGAGGUAGGCGGAAUUGACGGUGUAGCGGUGAAAUGCUUAGAUAUCGUCAAGAACACCUAUAGCGAAGGCAGCUUACUAAGCUGUAACUGACGCUGAGGCACGAAAGUGUGGGGAGCGAUCCGG